UACGUAGGCAGCGAGCGUUGUUCGGAAUUACUGGGCGUAAAGAGUGUGUAGGCGGUGCUCUAAGUUCGGUGUGAAAUCUCCUGGCUUAACUGGGAGGGUGCGCCGGAAACUGGAGUGCUCGAGCGUGGGAGAGGAAAGCGGAAUUCCUGGUGUAGCGGUGAAAUGCGUAGAUAUCAGGAGGAACACCUGUGGUGUAGACGGCUUUCUGGACCAUAGCUGACGCUGAGACACGAAAGCGUGGGGAGCGAACCGG
rnacentral:rRNA from 1 species